rnacentral:rRNA from 1 species
CCUACGGGUGGCUGCAGUGGGGAAUAUUGGACAAUGGGGGGAACCCUGAUCCAGCCAUGCCGCGUGUGUGAAGAAGGCCCUCGGGUUGUAAAGCACUUUCAGUGAGGAAGAACGCCUGGUGGUUAAUACCCAUCAGGAAAGACAUCACUCACAGAAGAAGCACCGGCUAACUCCGUGCCAGCAGCCGCGGUAAUACGGAGGGUGCGAGCGUUAAUCGGAAUUACUGGGCGUAAAGCGCGCGUAGGUGGCUUGAUAAGCCGGUUGUGAAAGCCCCGGGCUCAACCUGGGAACGGCAUCCGGAACUGUCAAGCUAGAGUGCAGGAGAGGAAGGUAGAAUUCCCGGUGUAGCGGUGAAAUGCGUAGAGAUCGGGAGGAAUACCAGUGGCGAAGGCGGCCUUCUGGACUGACACUGACACUGAGGUGCGAAAGCGUGGGUAGCAAACAGGAUUAGAUACUCGGGUAGUC